GACGAACGCUGGCGGCGUGCUUAACACAUGCAAGUCGAGCGAGACCCCUUCUUCGGGAGGGUGUUCUAGCGGCGAACGGGUGAGUAACACGUGGGCAACCUGCCCUCAGCUCUGGGAUAACUCCAAGAAAUUGGGGCUAAUACCGGAUAUGACCGCUGACCGCAUGGUCUGGUGGUGGAAAGAUUUAUCGGCUGGGGGAUGGGCCCGCGGCCUAUCAGCUUGUUGGUGGGGGUAGUGGCCACCAAGGCGACGACGGGUAGCCGGCCUGAGAGGGUGACCGGCCACACUGGGACUGAGACACGGCCCAGACUCCUACGGGAGGCGA
rnacentral:rRNA from 1 species